GAUGAACGCUGGCGGCGUGCCUAAUACAUGCAAGUCGAACGAGGUGCUUGAGUAGCAAUACGAGAGUAUCCUAGUGGCGAACGGGUGAGUAACGCGUUGGUGACCUACCCCAAAGUGUGGGAUAACAGUCCGAAAGGAUUGCUAAUACCGCAUGUGGUCUUCGGGUUUAGAAACCGAUGACGAAAGCAGCAAUGCGCUUUGGGAGGGACCUGCGUCCCAUCAGCUAGUUGGUGAGGUAACGGCUCACCAAGGCGACGACGGGUAGGGGACCUGAGAGGGUGACCCCCCACAAUGGAACUGAAACACGGUCCAUACACCUACGGGUGGCAGCAGUAGGGAAUAUUGCACAAUGGGCGAAAGCCUGAUGCAG
rnacentral:rRNA from 1 species